rnacentral:rRNA from 1 species
UGGGGAAUAUUGCACAAUGGGCGCAAGCCUGAUGCAGCAACGCCGCGUGGAUGAUGAAGGCCUUCGGGUUGUAAAAUCCUUUUCUGGGGAAAGAUAAUGACGGUACCCCAGGAAUAAGUUCCGGCUAACUACGUGCCAGCAGCCGCGGUAAAACGUAGGGGACGAGCGUUAUCCGGAUUUACUGGGCGUAAAGCGCAUGUAGGUGGCUUGAAAAGUUGGACGUGAAAGCUCCUGGCUUAACUGGGAGAGGUCGUACAAAACUAGCAAGCUUGAGGUUGGAAGAGGAGAGCAGAAUUCCCGGUGUAGUGGUGGAAUGCGUAGAUAUCGGGAGGAAUACCAGUGGCGAAAGCGGCUCUCUGGUUCAAUACUGACACUGAGAUGCGAAAGCGUGGGGAGCGAACGGGAUUAGAUACCCCCGUAGUCCCUGAGCGGGCUGGCAAGGCGCAU